rnacentral:rRNA from 1 species
UACGUAGGUGGCAAGCGUUGUCCGGAAUUAUUGGGCGUAAAGCGCGCGCAGGCGGUCCUUUAAGUCUGAUGUGAAAGCCCACGGCUCAACCGUGGAGGGUCAUUGGAAACUGGGGGACUUGAGUGCAGAAGAGGAAAGCGGAAUUCCACGUGUAGCGGUGAAAUGCGUAGAGAUGUGGAGGAACACCAGUGGCGAAGGCGGCUUUCUGGUCGUGUAACUGACGCUGAGGCGCGAAAGCGUGGGGAGCGAAC